GGACAAUGUCAUUAGCUCAUCCCUGAUCAGGACCACUCUUGCCUAAGUGCAGCCCACUGGGGGACGUGCCACAACGGACACUGAGACCUUUCAGGGCUUACUGGGCUCCUGGCUUCUGCGGAGUGAAAUCCCAACAACCUUCCCCUGUCACCACCUUGGGUAAUGUGACUGUAGACUUUGGAUAAAUCUCUACCCCUCCCUCUUUGGCCUCUGGAAGGCCUCUGCACCUGCCCCCCAUGGAGCCACCCCACAGCCAUGACCUCCCUGCCUUGCUGUCUCCAUCACAGGGUGAUCGGGGCAUGAUGGGACCCCCAGGCGCACCCGGACCCAAGGGAUCAAUGGGUCAUCCUGGAACUCCCGGUGCCGUUGGGACCCCCGGAGAGCCCGGACCCCCGGGUCCUCCAGGAUCUCGAGGCCCACCAGGCAUGAGGGGAGCAAAGGGACGCCGGGUAAGUGGGGCCCAG
rnacentral:lncRNA from 1 species